rnacentral:rRNA from 1 species
AUGAACGCUAGCUACAGGCUUAACACAUGCAAGUCGAGGGGCAGCAUUUUAGUUUGCUUGCAAACUGAAGAUGGCGACCGGCGCACGGGUGAGUAACACGUAUCCAACCUGCCGAUAACUCCGGAAUAGCCUUUCGAAAGAAAGAUUAAUACCGGAUAGUAUACGAAUAUCGCAUGAUAUUUUUAUUAAAGAAUUUCGGUUAUCGAUGGGGAUGCGUUCCAUUAGUUUGUUGGCGGGGUAACGGCCCACCUAGUCUUCGAUGGAUAGGGGUUCUGAGAGGAAGGUCCCCCACAUUGGAACUGAGACACGGUCCAAACUCCUACGGGAGGCAGCAGUGAGGAAUAUUGGUCAAUGGGCGAGAGCCUGAACCAGCCAAGUAGCGUGAAGGAUGAAGGCUCUAUGGGUCGUAAACUUCUUUUAUAUGGGAAUAAAGUUUUCCACGUGUGGAAUUUUGUAUGUACCAUAUGAAUAAGGAUCGGCUAACUCCGUGCCAGCAGCCGCGGUAAUACGGAGGAUCCGAGCGUUAUCCGGAUUUAUUGGGUUUAAAGGGAGCGUAGGUGGAUUGUUAAGUCAGUUGUGAAAGUUUGCGGCUCAACCGUAAAAUUGCAGUUGAAACUGGGAGUCUUGAGUACAGUAGAGGUGGGCGGAAUUCGUGGUGUAGCGGUGAAAUGCUUAGAUAUCACGAAGAACUCCGAUUGCGAAGGCAGCUCACUAGACUGUCACUGACACUGAUGCUCGAAAGUGUGGGUAUCAAACAGGAUUAGAUACCCUGGUAGUCCACACAGUAAACGAUGAAUACUCGCUGUUUGCGAUAUACAGUAAGCGGCCAAGCGAAAGCAUUAAGUAUUCCACCUGGGGAGUACGCCGGCAACGGUGAAACUCAAAGGAAUUGACGGGGGCCCGCACAAGCGGAGGAACAUGUGGUUUAAUUCGAUGAUACGCGAGGAACCUUACCCGGGCUUAAAUUGCAACAGAAUAUAUUGGAAACAGUAUAGCCGUAAGGCUGUUGUGAAGGUGCUGCAUGGUUGUCGUCAGCUCGUGCCGUGAGGUGUCGGCUUAAGUGCCAUAACGAGCGCAACCCUUAUCUUUAGUUACUAACAGGUCAUGCUGAGGACUCUAGAGAGACUGCCGUCGUAAGAUGUGAGGAAGGUGGGGAUGACGUCAAAUCAGCACGGCCCUUACGUCCGGGGCUACACACGUGUUACAAUGGGGGGUACAGAAGGCGGCUACCUGGUGACAGGAUGCUAAUCCCAAAAACCUCUCUCAGUUCGGAUCGAAGUCUGCAACCCGACUUCGUGAAGCUGGAUUCGCUAGUAAUCGCGCAUCAGCCAUGGCGCGGUGAAUACGUUCCCGGGCCUUGUACACACCGCCCGUCAAGCCAUGAAAGCCGGGGGUACCUGAAGUACGUAACCGCAAGGAGCGUCCUAGGGUAAAACUGGUAAUUGGGGCU